GGAUCAUUAAGGAAGUCGAUCAAGCGUCAUCUGGGUAGCGGAUAGGAAUGAUGCUACCAUCACAUUAUAUGACCACAGUGUUGAAACCAAUUGCUAAAGUUCAUUACAGCGAACCAAAGAAAAGAAAUCACAUUGUUUCAGCCGGGCAUUAGGAUGACUCCCUCCGACAAAUGCUCUGACACUCGUUGCGGCCAUGUAGAGUUCAUUGGGGCAG
rnacentral:misc_RNA from 1 species